GACGAACGCUGGCGGCGUGCUUAACACAUGCAAGUCGUGCGGUAAGGCCCUUUCUGGGGUACACGAGCGGCGAACGGGUGAGUAACACGUGAGCAACCUGCCCUUCACUUUGGGAUAACUGCCGGAAACGGUGGCUAAUACCGGCUAUGAAUUCCCCCCUCAUGCGGGGUGGUGGAAAGCCUUCGGGGGGGGGGGGAUGGGCUCGCGGUCUAUCAGCUUGUUGGUGGGGUGUUGGCCUACCAAGGCUUCGACGGGUAGCCGGCCUGAGAGGGUGACCGGCCACACUGGGACUGAGACACGGCCCAGACUCCUACGGGAGGCAGCAGUGGGGAAUAUUGGACAAUGGGCGGAAGCCUGAUCCAGCAACGCCGCGUGAGGGAUGACGGCCUUCGGGUUGUAAACCUCUUUCGCCUGCGACGAAGCGAGAGUGACGGUAGCAGGUAAAGAAGCACCGGCCAACUACGUG
rnacentral:rRNA from 1 species